GCCUGGGUGGCUCAGUCGGUUGAGCGACUGACUUCAGCUCAGGUCAUGAUCUUGCAGUUUGUGAGUUUGAGCCCCACGUUGGGCU
rnacentral:tRNA from 1 species